rnacentral:rRNA from 1 species
GCUGUUGGAGUGCACGUCCAAGCAGUGAGAUUGAGUGUUAGGCAAAUCCGGCACUCUUAAGAUUGAGCUGUGAUGGGGAGAGGAACUUGUUCCUCGAGUCGUUGAUUUCACACUGCCGAGAAAAGCCUCUAGCUAGAAUAACGGUGCCCGUACCGCAAACCGACACAGGUAGUCAAGAUGAGAAUUCUAAGGUGAGCGAGCGAACUCUCGUUAAGGAACUCGGCAAAAUGACCCCGUAACUUCGGGAGAAGGGGUGCUCUUUGAGGUUCACGCUUCGAAGAGCCGCAGUGAAUAGGCCCAAGCGACUGUUUAUCAAAAACACAGGUCUCUGCUAAACCGUAAGGUGACGUAUAGGGGCUGACGCCUGCCCGGUGCUGGAAGGUUAAGAGGAGUGGUUAGCGCAAGCGAAGCUACGAAUCGAAGCCCCAGUAAACGGCGGCCGUAACUAUAACGGUCCUAAGGUAGCGAAAUUCCUUGUCGGGUAAGUUCCGACCCGCACGAAAGGCGUAACGAUUUGGGCACUGUCUCAACGAGAGACUCGGUGAAAUCAUAGUACCGGUGAAGAUGCCGGUUACCCGCGACAGGACGGAAAGACCCCGUGGAGCUUUACUGUAGCCUGAUAUUGAAAUUCGGUACAGUUUGUACAGGAUAGGUAGGAGCCUUAGAAGCGUGAGCGCUAGCUUACGUGGAGGCAUUGGUGGGAUACUACCCUAAUUGUAUUGGAUUUCUAACCCGCAGCACUUAUCGUGCUGGGAGACAGUGUCAGGCGGGCAGUUUGACUGGGGCGGUCGCCUCCUAAAGAGUAACGGAGGCGCUCAAAGGUUCCCUCAGAAUGGUUGGAAAUCAUUCAUAGAGUGUAAAGGCAUAAGGGAGCUUG